GGACUCCAGUCCUGCCCCAGGCUCCCUCUGUGACCUCAGGCAAACCUCUCCCUUUUCUGAGGCAGAGGCAGCUCUGAGGGGGCGUGAGAAUAAGCUGUCCUCGGCCCCAAGGCCUCCAGGGUAGGGGGUUCAGUCCCUUGCUGGUACCUGGGGGCAGUGUGGAGGAGGGGGGAGGAUCCUGGGAAGGACCAGUCGGGCAGUACAGAGCCAGUGGGCUUGUGUUCAAAGUGAGCUCUGCUGUGUGACCCUGGGCGAGUCAUUUCCCUUCUCUGAGCCUCAGUUUCCUGACCCGUAAAGUGGGGCAGUGAUUACAGACCUGUGAGGACCCCUGUCGAGAUCAGGGUCGGGCCUGUUGAGGAGCAGCGCCUGCCCUCGGGGCCCAAGUCCUGAGUGGAGCCCCAAAGCGCGGAAGGGGCCCUGCUGAGAAUCUGGCGCUUGUGAAGAGCCUGGCCAAAGGACUGGCCCCUCCAUCUGUCCCCCCAGCAGGCUGUGAGCGGCCACUCGGUGGAAGUGUCCCCACCCACGCCUUUCUGGUUUAACUGGAAAACAAGGCCCCGUCCCACCUCCCAUCAGGAUGUGUUUGAUGGGAGGGAGCUGGCGGGUUUGUGGGCACGGGACACAAGGCCCCAACGGGCCAGGCUCCCCCUCGUCUGGGCCCUCCAGGCUUAGCGAUCCACCUGCCCGGGCUGGGGGCGGGGGGCGGGGGGUGGGGGGUGGGAGGUGCAGGCACCUCCUGGUAACAAGCAGGCCUCGGGGGAGGGAGGGAGAGGUCUGGACGAAAGAGAGGACAGCUUCGAGAGGCCAGCCAGGCCCCUUCUGGGCAUUUUGUCCAAGCAGGUCCAGCCUGAGCAAGGGUGGGCUAGACCGUGCUGGGAAUCUGUGAAGCCUGGCUUUGCUUACCCCCAGGUGAUGGGAAGCUCAUUCCUUCUAACUCCCCACGAGUGGCUCUGGCUUCCCGGGGCUUCCUCUUGGAAGCCGGUGACUGGUGUCAGGGCUGUUACUUCCUGACCCGAGACAGCCCUCGAGAGCGUGGGAAUAGGGUGAGCCUCAGCCCCACCCACGAGUUGGGGGUCAGAUGGGAUCCCCGUGACCUCCUCGAAGCACCCCCCGCCCCCCAACUUCCCACCGGCCUGCAGCCUUCCUGCCUCUGGCCCUUUAAGGCCUGGGCAGGAAGCCCCUCCCCAUUUAGGGCAAUAAAUGGACACAUAAAAUGGC
rnacentral:lncRNA from 1 species